rnacentral:misc_RNA from 1 species
GAUGAAGAACGUAGCAAAAUGCGAUAAGUAGUGUGAAUUGCAGAAUUCAGUGAAUCAUCGAAUCUUUGAACGCACAUUGCGCCCGCCAGUAUUCUGGCGGGCAUGCCUGUUCGAGCGUCAUUUCAACCAUCAAGCCCCAGGCUUGUGUUGGAGCCCUGCGGCUGCCGCAGCCUCCCAAAACCAGUGGCGGGCUCGCUAUCACACCGAGUGCAGUAGUUUACUCUUCGCUCAGGGCGUGUGGCGGGUGCUAGCCGUAAAACCCCCAACUUCUCAAGGUUGACCUCGGAUCAGGUAGGAAUACCCGCUGAACUUAAGCAUAUCAAUAAGCGGAGGA